rnacentral:rRNA from 1 species
AGGUUAAGCUACAAAGAGCACACGGAGGAUGCCUAGGCGCCAGGAGCCGACGAAGGACGUGGCGAACAACGAUAAAGCCUCGGGGAGCUGUAAGCAAGCUUUGAUCCGGGGAUGUCCGAAUGGGGAAACCCGGCUGUCUUCAUCGACAGUCACUUUCUGCUGAAUACAUAGGCAGAAUAGAGGCAAACCAGGGGAACUGAAACAUCUAAGUACCCUGAGGAAGAGAAAACAAUAGUGAUUCCGUCAGUAGCGGCGAGCGAACGCGGAUUAGCCCAAACCAAGGAGCUUGCUCCUUGGGGUUGUGGGACGUCUCACAUGGAGUUACAAAGGAACCGGUUAGAUGAAGAGGUCUGGAAAGGCCCGCCAA